rnacentral:lncRNA from 1 species
CCAGUGGGAGCUGGAGUGGAAGCCGUGGCUCAGGCUAUGAGGAGGCCUCUGACGGUAAGAGUGGACACAGCCACGGCAGGACAGGGAGAGGACAGACCUGGGAAACCAAACACUAAGGGGCCUUAGGGAAGUCACCACCCCAGCCGGGGUUCCUCACUCGUAUCACAGGUACAUUGGAUGACAAAUGGCCUGACGGAGUGCAGGCUGAACACAGCUGGGUCCCCAAGCCUGGGUUCCGGGCCUUCCCUGCCACAUCUUCCCAGGGAGGUGCCCCUCUCUUCCCAGCCUCCUUGUGGUAAAAGCAGCAUGAUCCUGAUGGUUUUACAGAAAAGGAAAUGGAAAAUCAUUAGACAAAUAAAUCCAAGGUGUGCCUGCCUUAACCAGGAAGAUGGAAAAAGCCCUUGGUAUUCUCUGCAAUGAUUUUGGGGGACAAGAGGAAAGGGGUUCACAGGCGGCCCUGCAGCUGGAAGGCGGCACCUCAGUUGGCCAGGCCAGCUUCUUUCUGGGUGGGACAGACAGGGGUGCCGAUCCAUCACUCCUUCUGGGUGCUCACCCUCGGGGAGACGGCUGAAUUGAAGGAAAGGCUGGGCUCCUACACAAUAGCUUGUGGGUAUAGAAACCAAGACACUCCAGAUAUUUCCAGAGGCCCUCAGGAAAUAAGGGAAGAUAGGGGAGGCGGGGCCGUAGGGAGUCCCGCCCUGUAUCGAGACCUUCCAGAACCUCAGCAAAUCUUCCAGGACGCAGGGGAGCCCAGAGGAAGCACCUGCCACCUGUUCGCCCCAGGCCCUGGGUGACUACCCGGGCUCUCUGAGAUUCACUUUCCUCCUGUGUCACCAGGGAAGUUUGAGUGCCAGCCCUCUAGGGGCUGCAUACAGCGCUUGCCACUGCUGCCCCCAGGGUCCAUCUCUGAGUGGUCACAGUGGUCACAGUGAGGGAUAAGGCCACCUUGAGACAUAAGGCCACCUUGUCCCAUCACCUAAAGCAUAGGGUCAGGGAGAACCAGAGGGUGGCCCAGGAGCAGAGGUGGGGCUGGUGUGAGUUGGGAAAGGGAGAGGAGGAACUUGCUAUUCAGAUGAGGGUUUGGGGAGCUCUAGGGGUGGGUCAGUCUCCAGGGGUCAGCCAACAGUGGGUGAGGUCCAGUGGGCCUCACUCCAUCCCAGCCUCCGACAUGGUCACCCUUCUUAGACACACUUCUUGGGUCUCAGUGAGGCUGAGCUGCCCCAGCCCCAGCACUCUGUCAGCCGGUCUCAGGACAGGAGUCACCCUCUCUUGGGCAUGUAGUAGCUGCCAAGUCCUGUUCUUCAUCCUCACCCUGGCUUUAUAAGGUGUCUACUAUUAUUACUGUUAUUUUACAGAUGGGGAAACUGAGGCCCAGAAAGGACAUUUUGCCCAUUUGCUUUGUAAUUUGGGGGACACAAUACAGGAACAAAGGUCAAAUUCCAGGGACCAGCUCAUAAACACAUUCUUUUUUUUCUAACAGCACACAGGUGAAGCAAGAAUCCCCCCUAAGCCCCCAAGUGACCACAGCAGACAGACAGGCUCGGGUCUGUGACCCACAGGCCCAGGUGGGCCAGGCUGCAGGAUGGAGGAUCUAUGUGUCUGAAGGCUGGGAGCUCGUUUUCCUGCCUGGUAGAGAUUCCUGGGUCCCCAGGAGAUGAGCACUUUCAUAAUGCCCCCUGGAACCCCCAUAUGGCCAGAGAUGGGGUCCCAGACCCUGAAGACACUGAGUCUCCCCAUGGGAAGAGACCCUACCCAAGGCCACCAAGGGACUGAAAACUAUCCUGCCAGCCUGGCUGUCUUCCACGGUGCAGUCGGCAGUGGCCCAAGGGAGCAAGACGGUCCAAUCCAAAUGCCCAAGGUCACCAACUGCAUGGAAAACAAUGGGCAACAGGUCCAGCCAUGGCCGGAGCCAGAACAAAGGACUGGCACUUCCUCGCAUUCAGGCCCCUCCUUCAUGGUCUGCCAAGGCCAGAGGAUGGAGGAAACCUUCAUCAUGAGGCAGGGAGGUUGUGUCGGCUGGUCUCAGAGAGCUGCAGCUCCCUGUGUUGACAGAGGAGCAGAAAGAGGGACCAGCUGCUGGAGGCCCAGCUCAGCCUGCUGGGAAGCAGGGAGACUGGGGGGAUCCGAGACCAGUCCUCCCACCUUCCUGGAUCACUCAAACCGGGGUAUCUCCCACCUGCUCCUCCUCUCCAUGGCCCCAGCAUCUCCCCUCUGAUCUCCCCUCCACAUUGUGGCUAUUCAGUCUUCAGAAAACAUUAGGAUCCACCACUGCUCUGCUCUGAAGCCCUCUAUGGCUCCCCAGUGCUCCCAGGAGGAAGUUCAAGCUCUUCGGCCCUUCAAGAUUCAGUCCUACAACUUUAAUCUUCCCGUGACUCCCAGGCGCCCCAGGUCCCCUCCCCCUGAGAGUCAUGCCCCUGUCCAUCCCACCUGGAGUGCCCUCUGCCCCUCCUCCCCACUCCUCUCCUUAGGGUUGGGCCUAAAUCUUUUCCCUGCCCAGAAGCCUCCCUGACUGCUCCAGCCCAUGCUGGGUCCCUUCUUCUGAGCUCUACGCCCCAAAUAAAUCCAAGAAUCAUCUGCGUCAGAGGCUUGAGGAUAGGAAAGGUAGCAGAAUACAACAGUUACUAAUAGGGCAUUAUGUAAAAAUGUGGAUGUGUAACCAAUGAGAUUCUGCAAUCUGUAUUUGGGGUAAAAUUGGGAGUUCAUAACCAACUUGAAUCUAAUGCAUGAAAUAUGAUAUGUCAA